AUAGACCUCCUCAAAUCAAACAUAAGCCACAAGGGAGCUCAGGGGCCCUCGUGUAACAUCUGCGGAACUGGGUGAUACACAUGUUUCGGAUUUCAUCUUAACUGUGCUUUUUCCAGGAUAUCAAGAUCCUCUUGCAAACUGAUUCUGUGACCUGAUGCAUUUUCCAGCCCUCUCAGCUUUGUGUUUUCCACAGCAUCAAGAAGCACACCUUCUAUGUCUUCGUCCAAGUCAUUGAUAACAAUGUUGAGUGGACAGAGCUAACGCAGAUCCCUGUGGUAUGCCACUAGAGUCACCUUUUUCCUUUGAUGUGGUCGAAUCAGUGGAGAGUCCAUCACAUUCCUGACAUCUGUCCACUGGAAUAGCCAAGAGACUUGAUCAAAUUCCUCUCUGGACUCCAAAGAAUCUCUGCCCACAACAUUCCUCAGACCUGUCACUCUUAAUGCCUUCCCACGAAAGGAAAGAGAUGGGUACCGAACGCCAGGAACUCAACUCUCCUGCAGCUGUGCUAUUGCCACCUAUGCCUUAGGAAUUUGACAUUGUAUCCCAAAAGCGAGAAGCCUAGGCUGCCAGCAACACCAGUAAAGCAAUGCCCCCCCCCCACCCCAGAGCUUUGUAUUUGUUUCUGAGUGGAAGUCUCG